rnacentral:rRNA from 1 species
GAUGAACGCUGGCGGCGUGCCUAAUACAUGCAAGUCGAGCGAACAGACGAGGAGCUUGCUCCGUUGACGUUAGCGGCGGACGGGUGAGUAACACGUAGGUAACCUACCUAUAAGACUGGGAUAACUUCGGGAAACCGGAGCUAAUACCGUAUAAUAUUUCGAACCGCAUGGUUCGAUGGUGAAAGAUGGCUUUGCUUUCACUUAUAGAUGGACCUGCGCCGUAUUAGCUAGUUGGUAAGGUAACGGCUUACCAAGGCAACGAUACGUAGCCGACCUGAGAGGGUGAUCGGCCACACUGGAACUGGGACACGGUCCAGACUCCUACGGGAGGCAGCAGUAGGGAACCUUCCGCAGUGGGCGAAAGCCUGACGGAGCAACGCCGCGUGAGUGAUGAAGGUCUUCGGAUCGUAAAACUCUGUUAUUAGGGAAGAACAAACGUGUAAGUAACUGUGCACGUCUUGACGGUACCUAAUCAGAAAGCCACGGCUAACUACGUG